UACGAAGGGGGCUAGCGUUGUUCGGAAUUACUGGGCGUAAAGCGCACGUAGGCGGAUACUUAAGUUAGGGGUGAAAUCCCGGGGCUCAACCCCGGAACUGCCUUUAAUACUGGGUAUCUCGAGUUCGAGAGAGGUGAGUGGAAUUCCGAGUGUAGAGGUGAAAUUCGUAGAUAUUCGGAAGAACACCAGUGGCGAAGGCGACUCACUGGACAUGUAUUGACGCUGAGGUGCGAAAGCGUGGGGAGCAAACAGG
rnacentral:rRNA from 1 species